rnacentral:rRNA from 1 species
GUCUAUGGCCAUACCAACCUGAACGCGCUCAAUCUCGUCUGAUCUUGGAAGCUAAGCACGGUCGGGCCUGGUUAGUACUUGGAUGGGAAAAGGCUCCCCACUUUUAGGAACUCACGUGACUGGGCCCACAUGGACA